rnacentral:rRNA from 1 species
ACGAACGCUGGCGGCUGCUUAACACAUGCAAGUCGAACGGAGUGGCGAACGGGUGAGUAACGCGUGAGCAACCUGCCUAUGACAGUGGGAUAGCCUCGGGAAACCGGGAUUAAUACCGCAUAGUCAUAGAUGGGCUUGCGUCUGAUUAGCUAGUUGGUGAGAUAACCGCCCACCAAGGCGACGAUCAGUAGCCGGGAUGAGAGGAAGAACGGCGACAUUGGAACGGAGACACGGUGCAAAAUCCUACGGGAGGCAGCAGUGGGGAAUAUUGCACAAUGGGGGAAACCCUGAUGCAGCGACGCCGCGUGGACGAAGAAGGUAUUCGUAUCGUAAAGUUCUGUCCUAUGGGAAGCAGUACCAUAGAAGAAAGCUCCGGCUAAAUACGUGCCAGCAGCCGCGGUAAUAC